rnacentral:lncRNA from 1 species
GGCCGCUUGGGCGUGAUCCCUUGGCUGGGGCUGCAGGGGGCACGUCCUCCAGGGGCGCGGAGGGAAGGACCAGCGUUUCCAAGCCGGGCUCUGGCCGCCGGCGCGAGAGCGAGGCCAAGGUCUGGGGGCAGUUUAGGGGGACCCCGAAGUCGGGACGGCCCAGAAACGCUUUGCCCACAGCCACCGCCCUUUCCUUUCUCUCCAGGAGGAGCCCCACAUUGAAUCACUGCAACCUCUUGUGGACUAUUUUAUCAAAUACUUCGGCAGGACCAGAGCAGCCUGGACUCUCAGGGAACCUGGCUUGGAGAGUGCGUGCUGGAAGAAGGGAGAAGGAUGAAGAAAUAGGAAGUGAAACUUUCCAGAGCUUUCAUGAAGAUGGAUAGCAGAUUAAUAGAUCUUUCCUAUGACAACUAUCACACCCAAAAACUAUUAUUUUAUUAAUUCCUUUUGAACUCUGCCUUGUUCCAAA